AGUGAACGCUGGCGGCAGGCCUAACACAUGCAAGUCGAACGGCAGCACAAGAGAGCUUGCUCUCUGGGUGGCGAGUGGCGGACGGGUGAGGAAUGCAUCGGAAUCUGCCCAUUUGUGGGGGAUAACCUCGGGAAACCGGGACUAAUACCGCAUACGACCUACGGGUGAAAGCAGGGGAUCUUCGGACCUUGCGCAGAUGGAUGAGCCGAUGCCGGAUUAGCUAGUUGGAGGGGUAAAGGCCCACCAAGGCGACGAUCCGUAGCUGGUCUGAGAGGAUGAUCAGCCACACUGGGACUGAGACACGGCCCAGACUCCUACGGGAGGCAGCAGUGGGGAAUAUUGGACAAUGGGCGCAAGCCUGAUCCAGCCAUGCCGCGUGUGUGGAGAAGGCCUUCGGGUUGUAAAGCACUUUUGUUGGGAAAGAAAAGCAGCCGGUUAAUACCCGGUUGUCAUGACGGUACCCAAAGAAUAAGCACCGGCUAACUUCGUG
rnacentral:rRNA from 1 species